GAAGGGCUGGUUAAUUAAUAACAUAAGCUUGUCGAGCUUAAGUUGCCCAGUAAGGGUGCUCUUUU
rnacentral:tRNA from 1 species